rnacentral:rRNA from 1 species
CACGGGGGUUGCGAGCGUUGUCCGGAAUUACUAGGCGUAAAGGGCAGGUAGGCGGAUAGAUAAGUUUGAUGUUAAAGGCGACGGCUUACCCGUCGUAAGGCAUUAGAUACUGUUUAUCUGGAAUGCGGUAGGGGAAGACAGAAUUCCUGGUGUAGCGGUGGAAUGCGCAGAGAUCAGGAGGAAUACCGAAGGCGAAGGCAGUCUUCUAAGCCGUAAUUGACGCUAAACUGCGAAGGUGUGGGUAUCAAACAGGAUUAGAUACCCUGGUAGUCCACACAGUAAACGAUAAUCACUAGGUGUCGGGUUCGAAGAGGAUUCGGUGCCGUAGCUAACGCGCUAAGUGAUUCGCCUGGGGAGUACGAUCGCAAGGUUGAA